rnacentral:rRNA from 1 species
GCUCAGGAUGAACGCUAGCGGCAGGCUUAACACAUGCAAGUCGAGGGGUAACAGGUUCCUUCGGGAAUGCUGACGACCGGCGCACGGGUGAGUAACGCGUAUGCAACCUUCCUGUAUCUGGAGGAUAGGCCUUGGAAACGAGGAUUAAUACUGCGUAACAUUAUAUUAUCGCAUGGUAAAAUAAUCAAAUCUAUGGAGGAUACAGAUGGGCAUGCGUGCCAUUAGCUAGAUGGUAAGGUAAGGGCUUACCAUGGCGACGAUGGCUAGGGGUUCUGCAAGGAAGAUCCCCCACACUGGUACUGAGACACGGACCAGACUCCUACGGGAGGCAGCAGUGAGGAAUAUUGGUCAAUGGAGGCAACUCUGAACCAGCCAAGCCGCGUGAAGGAAGACUGUUCUAUGAAUUGUAAACUUCUUUUGUGACAGAGUAAAGAUAGCUACGCGUAGUUAUUUGCAAGUAUGUCAUGAAUAAGCAUCGGCUAACUCCGUGCCAGCAGCCGCGGUAAUACGGAGGAUGCAGGCGUUAUCCGGAUUUAUUAGGUUUAAAGGGUGUUCAGGCUGUCUGGUAAGUCAGAGGUGAAAGUCGGUUGCUUAACGAUCGAAUUGCCUUUGAAACUGUCAGACUUGAGUAUGGAUGCGGUAGGCGGAAUGUGUAGUGUAGCGGUGAAAUGCAUAGAUAUUACACAGAACACCGAUUGCGAAAGCAGCUUACCAAACCAGCACUGACGCUGAAGCACGAAAGCGUGGGUAGCGAACCAGGAUUAGAUACCCUGGUAGUCCACGCAGUAAACGAUGCUCACUCGCUGUUGGCCAUAGAUCGUCAGCGGCUAAGGGAAACCGAUAAGCUGAGCCACCUGGGGAGCUCGACUCGCAAGAUUUGAACCUCAAAGGAAUUGACGGGGGGCCCGCACAAGCGGUGGACCAUGUGGUUUACUUCGAUGAUACGCGAGGAACCUUACCUGGGCUUAAAUGUACGGUGCAUAAGUGUGAAAGCACUUUUUCCUUCGGGACUUUGUACAAGGUGCUGCAUGGUUGUCGUCAGCUCGUGCCAUGAGGUGUCGGGUUAAGUCCCAUAACGAGCGCAACCCCUACUUGUUAGUUACCAGCGCGUAANGGCGGGACCUCUAGCGAAACUGCCGGUGUAACCGCGAGGAAGCUGGGGAUGACGUCAAUCAGCACGCCCUUAUGUCCAGGGCUACACAC